ensembl:lncRNA
GUGGGAGACGUUUUAUAUGCGUUACUAAUCUAUUUCUAAUGGAUUUUCUUCUCGACACAGAAAUCAAGAGAUAACAAUUUAUUGUCUGCGGAUCGUUGACGUGGAGUUUAGAAAAGAGAUCCUAUCCUACCGGCGUUGCUCUACCAGCCGGCCAUCAAGUGGCUCGAUAGGGAAAUGCAGUACACUUGGGGCCUGUAUUUGGAAUAAGAAAGCCUUGCUGUUUUCUGACUGGAGAGAAGGAAGAUAAGACUCCUCUGGAUUUCCUAAGGAAUUUUGUCUGGACGCUUUGUUACCGUGGCUAUUGAAUUCAUCAGCUGGGGUAUAUAUGUGCACCAGGGCCUCCCGCUCCUUCUAUUCCGGUUAGAGCCAGUUUCCAGUAUUCUGUGAAGGGAGUCGUAC